rnacentral:rRNA from 1 species
UACGUAGGGACCGAGCGUUGUCCGGAUUCAUUGGGCGUAAAGAGCUCGUAGGCGGCCACUCAAGUCGAAUGUGAAACCUCGAGGCUUAACCUCGAGCCUGCAUUCGAUACUGGGCGGCUAGAGUCUGGUAGGGGGAUCUGGAAUUCCUGGUGUAGCGGUGGAAUGCGCAGAUAUCAGGAGGAACACCGGUGGCGAAGGCGGGAUCCUGGGCCAGUACUGACGCUGAGGAGCGAAAGCGUGGGUAGCAAACAGG